UUUUGUCACAUCCAGUCUGCUUAGCCAGGAGUUCAGCCUCUGCAGUUCUGCUGAAACGAGCAACUCCUCCACCAAGUCUACCCAUUUCAGUUCCAGACGUCCUCACUGGGAGAUUGGUGGCGCGUUUGGUCGCCUUCACUUCAUCUUCAAUUCUUCUCUUCUAUUCCCCUUCGUUUCUUGCUUCUUCCUCUGUUGUCAGAGAGCAGGUGAGCUGAGGAGAGUGGUUGUACCUUUGCGGAGCACCGAUUGGGAUUGGUGGCGAGUUUGGCUUCGUUGCACAUAAUUUUUUUUCCCCUCGCCUUUUCUUCCGUUUGUUUGGUGCUGUUUUGCUGGCGAGCUUUUCACUGGAGGUCAGCAAACUGCUCCACCAAAUCCACCCACUCCAGACGUCCGUCUCUUUUCCGGGGUCAGCCUGAUUGUACUCAUCAAAGCGGUUGCUUCUCCGACCUCAUUUCUUCCUAAUUCAUGUUUACUCACAAUCACAUUUUGCUUCUCAUAGAUUGAGGACAAUGGACUGAAAGUCGACGAGAAGGAGAAAAAGAAUCAACUUUCCAGAUCACCUAAAAUUCAGCUUUCAAGUUAUAUUCUAUUCUUUGGUUUCCACAAAGUAGCUACAGGGUAGCUGAGUUGAAGGCUGAAAGAUUUAGGAUUGCUGUUACAGCUGAAGCUCAGAGCAUUUUUUAUGCUCUGUCCAAAACGUAGCAGUUUUCGUACUGGUUGGUUUCUUCUUGGUUAUGACUUCUCAAAGAGGUAAAGAAUCAAUAGGAGGCAGGAGAGCGUUAGAAGAAGUCGUCUGCUGCAGUCAGGCUAUCUCGAGCUACUGUGUUCAGCAUUAUAACUUCAUACUUUUUGGAUGAUCUUUUAAGCGUUCAUCAACUGAACUUCCACAACUUAAACAUUCAAGAUGAAAACUAAACUUGUUUACAUUUCAUAUUUACAAUGCUUGUAUAAUUACAGCUUCUUUCAUGUACUACUAAUUUUUCCCUCAAAUUCCU